rnacentral:rRNA from 1 species
UGGGGAAUAUUGGACAAUGGGCGAAAGCCUGAUCCAGCCAUGCCGCGUGUGUGAAGAAGGUCUUCGGAUUGUAAAGCACUUUAAGUUGGGAGGAAGGGCAUUAACCUAAUACGUUAGUGUUUUGACGUUACCGACAGAAUAAGCACCGGCUAACUCUGUGCCAGCAGCCGCGGUAAUACAGAGGGUGCAAGCGUUAAUCGGAAUUACUGGGCGUAAAGCGCGCGUAGGUGGUUUGUUAAGUUGGAUGUGAAAUCCCGGGGCUCAACCUGGGAACUUCAUUCAAAACUGACUGACUAGAGUAUGGUAGAGGGUGGUGGAAUUUCCUGUGUAGCGGUGAAAUGCGUAGAUAUAGGAAGGAACACCAGUGGCGAAGGCGACCACCUGGACUAAUACUGACACUGAGGUGCGAAAGCGUGGGGAGCAAACA